ensembl:snRNA U1 U1 spliceosomal RNA
ACACUUACCUGGCAGGGGAGAUACCCUGAUCACGAAGGUGGCUUUCCCAGGGUGAGGCUCCUCCAUGCCCUCGGGGUGAGCUGACCCCUGUGCUUUCCCCAAAUGUGAGAAACUCGACUGCAUAAUUUGUGGUAGUGGGGGACUGUGUUCGCACUUUCCCCUG